GCGGCCUAAGUUAAAUCAGUGGCCUAAAUCUGGUUUAAACCAUGGACUAUCUUUUUUGCUAUUCUCGAAGGUGGCCUAAAGAUAAGCCAGGCUUAAAUACGUCAUAGUUCGGCCUAACUUUAGGCCGCUCAGAGGGCAGGUUUAAAUACGUCAUAGUUCGGCCUAACUUCGCGUGACGUCACUUUUUAGUUAAAUCGACUGUCCGCGGAGAGUGAACGGUUCUUUUCAAUUGAUGCAUGGGGAUGGAGAAAAAAGGCCUCUCCCAAGCUAUGGUGUCCCGCCUUGUGAAGUCCAUCUCAAUAGCCAUUGCCAGGAGAUGGGAGCAAUACAUCACCAUUCCUUCAGCAAGAGAGGCAGUCCUACAGAGUGCAGACCCAACAUGAAUUGUAUAAUUACUGCCAUUUCCCUGGCGUUAAUAUGGUCGGUGCUAUUGAUUGCACCCACAUAGGCAUCUCCAAGCCAGUUGGCCCAACACCAGUUAUUUCCUGAACAGGAAAAAAAAGAUACUCCAUUUUUCUUGGAAAGUCUGCUGGAUGAUGUUUUUCUUCAGUAAAAUAAAUGAAGGCAAAUUCCCUGAUAACUGAGACAAAUUCAGAGAGAGGAAGGAGAACUACUGAGCUGCUGAAUUUCUGACAGGUAGGCUGUACGAAUAAGUUGUUGUUUGUAUGCCCAGGUACUUCAAGGAUGGCAUUUGUUCAUUCACAUUUUUCCAUCAAUACUUUCAUGUAAUUGAUUAAUAUGCACUC